rnacentral:rRNA from 1 species
UACGAAGGGGGCUAGCGUUGCUCGGAAUUACUGGGCGUAAAGGGCGCGUAGGCGGCAUGGCAAGUCGGGAGUGAAAGGCCUGGGCUCAACCGAGGAACUGCUUUCGAGACUGCCAAGCUAGAGUGCGGAAGGGGCAUCUGGAAUUCCCAGUGUAGCGGUGAAAUGCGUAGAUAUUGGGAAGAACACCUGAGGCGAAGGCGGGAUGCUGGGCCGACACUGACGCUGAGGCGCGAAAGCCAGGGGAGCAAAGCGGG